UAGCAUAUCAAUAAGCGGAGGAAAAGAAACCAACAGGGAUUGCCUCAGUAACGGCGAGUGAAGCGGCAAAAGCUCAAAUUUGAAAUCUGGCCCUUUCAGGGUCCGAGUUGUAAUUUGCAGAGGAUGCUUCGGGAGCGGCGGCAGUCUAAGUCCCCUGGAACGGGGCGUCAUAGAGGGUGAGAAUCCCGUCUUGGACCGCAUGCCCGUGACCGUGUGAAGCUCCUUCGACGAGUCGAGUUGUUUGGGAAUGCAGCUCAAAAUGGGUGGUAAAUUUCAUCUAAAGCUAAAUAUUGGCUGGAGACCGAUAGCGCACAAGUAGAGUGAUCGAAAGGUUAAAAGCACCUUGAAAAGGGAGUUAAAUAGCACGUGAAAUUGUUGAAAGGGAAGCGCUUGCAACCAGACUCGGCCGCAGAGGCUCAGUGGGCACGUGUGCCCAUGCACUCCUCUGUGGUCGGGCCAGCAUCAGUUCUGACGGCCGGUCAAAGGCCCCCGGAAUGUAUCCUCCUCCGGGAGGUCUUAUAGCCGGGGGUGCAAUGCGGCCAGUCGGGACUGAGGAACGCGCUUCGGCACGGAUGCUGGCGUAAUGGUUGUAAGCGACCCGUCUUGAAACACGGACCAAGGAGUCUAACAUCCACGCGAGUGUUAGGGUGUCAAACCCUUGCGCGCAGUGAAAGCGAACGGAGGUGAGAUCCCCGCAAGGGGCGCAUCAUCGACCGAUCCUGAAGUCUUCGGAUGGAUUUGAGUAAGAGCGUGGCUGUUGGGACCCGAAAGAUGGUGAACUAUGCCUGAAUAGGGUGAAGCCAGAGGAAACUCUGGUGGAGGCUCGCAGCGGUUCUGACGUGCAAAUCGAUCGUCAAAUUUGGGUAUAGGGGCGAAAGACUAAUCGAACCAUCUAGUAGCUGGUUCCUGA
rnacentral:rRNA from 1 species